rnacentral:rRNA from 1 species
CCUACGGGGGGCAGCAGUGGGGAAUAUUGCACAAUGGGGGAAACCCUGAUGCAGCGACGCCGCGUGAACGAAGAAGGUAUUCGUAUCGUAAAGUUCUGUCCUAUGGGAAGAUAAUGACAGUACCAUAGAAGAAAGCUCCGGCUAAAUACGUGCCAGCAGCCGCGGUAAUACGUAUGGAGCGAGCGUUGUCCGGAAUUAUUGGGCGUAAAGGGUACGCAGGGGGUUUAAUAAGUCGAAUGUUAAAGAUCGGGGCUCAACCCCGUAAAGCAUUGGAAACUGAUAAACUUGAGUAGUGGAGAGGAAAGUGGAAUUCCUAGUGUAGUGGUGAAAUACGUAGAUAUUAGGAGGAAUACCAGUAGCGAAGGCGACUUUCUGGACACAAACUGACGCUGAGGUACGAAAGCGUGGGGAGCAAACAGGAUUAGAUACCCUUGUAGUC